rnacentral:lncRNA from 1 species
CACGUUUCUGGGCGGGCGUGGGGGGUGCCUGAUAUCUCCGCUCUAUUUUACAGUUACUCCCCUGCUGGUGCCUCCCUCCUUGGCGCGCUUCCCACCUGCGAUCGGCGCCCUCUUCGCAGUCACGAACUCGCCAGCAGCUAGCAGCACUGACUAGUAGGAGGGCCCGCCGGAGGAGAGGACAUGCUCUGGAGUCAGAAGACAGCGAAAAGAGAAGCAGAAGCCCCGGUGGCAAGAGUCUGAAGCUGGAAAGGAGGAGAACAUGAAACAUUGCUUGAAGACAAUGGCCGAGACAGCAGGUCCCACCCUGCACAGCCACCAGCAUCUCUCCCCUCAGCCCUGUCUCCUCUUCUGCAGUUGGGAUCUGCACAUUUAAGCCUGAAAUUGUCCUGUGAAGUGAAGUAUGAUCGGACAGCCUCUUUUCAGCUUUUAUGACAAUGGAGACAGAGGAAUUGUGGCUCUUGCCAAGGUCACAGGAUUGGAAUACAGAGCCAAGCCACCCCAGGACAUGCAAGAGCCUCAGAAGGGAAAAAAGCCCAGCAGGAAGGGAGAACAAGUAGCCUCUGUCCUGAAGUUGUAACAGCCAGGGGCCAGGAUGGAGGAGGAGGACCCCAUAAUCUGCCCAUCUGGGACUUGGCAGGGGACCUGGGAAAAUGUACCCCAACCCAUCCCUUAAGGGCCUUUGUCUUUGGCCCAUUGGCCUAGCAUCUACUUCUUCACCGUGUCUGUUCUUGUCACACCUAGUCAGGUCUGUUUGGGUCUGAGGUGCAUGGAACAUUCUGGGUAGGCCUCCAGCAAACGGAAGCUCUUCACCGUGUUUCCAGCCUGGGACCAAGGGCAGCAUACUGGCAAAGUUGCCAAAGCAAGGGACUCCAGCCUCUUAGGAGUUAAUGACUCCCUCUCCCCAGCUGUCCUCCCCUUGGUGCUCCUCUUCCUCCCUCCUCCUGCUCACAGCAGGCAGGGCCUAGACCCGGGAGCCAUGCUGCUGUGCUGUUGCCAGGGGAGCACGGAGGCAGAUCUGAGCUAUGCAGGGAAAAGGCCCAGCCUGUCAAAGUGUCUGAGAUGAACCGCCGCCGUCCCUGUGCAGCUGGGCUCAGACGUGUCUCAGCUCUUGUUCUGUGCCUGAGAAUGGCGAAACCCAGUGAGGUUCAAGGGCAAACUCGCUAUUCAUUAGUCAGGGGUUCUUGACGUCCCGUCUCUCCCAGGGAUGAGUUCCCCCCUCCUCUUUCUCCCCCUCCUAUGACACAUUCCUGGGUGCCUUUGGUGAGGACUGCACACCCUCCUCCUGCCUAGCCCCCUCUCCAAAGGCCCCUGAAUAAACUCCCCCCAAGGAGACCAGGCAGGGCAGAGACAAUGGCUGCAGGAAAUCAUUCAGGCGGGACAUGCUGGCCUGCCCUCCACCCAGUCCCCCUGUGGGCCCCACUCCCUUCUGAUUCAGGGCACCCUUGGGCCCCCAGCCUAUACAGGCCUGGACAGGAAGAAACCACUGGGAACCACCCUAAGGACAACAUGCUAGUCCAGUGCCAUUCUUCGCUGGCUCUGUGGGUGCCUUUGUGGCCUGUACCGACUGGCUGGCUAAUUUUGUGGUUUCUGUACCAUCACAUGCCUAUUUUAAGACACUCUCCAGCACUGUCGGUUAGGGAGUGUAAAUUUUGCAAUAUUUUCUGAAAUGUGGCAAUAUCAAAAUGUAAAAGGCACACAUACUUGGUCACAAACAAAUGGCACUAUUUACUCUGUGGGCAUAUUUGUAAAAGUUGCCAAAGAAUUAUAUACAAGGAUGUUCAUCAGAGCAUUUCUUUUGAAGAGUAAAGAAAUGGACAUGAACCUGUGGUCCGUUCAUACGGUGGAAUACCUAUGCAGCUGUAAAAAUCAGUGUGGUAGAUCUCCGUAUAUGAGUUGAUGUGGAAGGUUGGCCAGUUCACAUGAUAAGGUGAAUAGAAUAAGUUACAGAACAGGCUGUAGAGUAUGAUCUUAUUUGUAGAUGUUUAAAACUGAGUCAUAAGUAUGCUUAUAUACAGAUCGUUUCUGGAAGUAUGUACUGGAAGUCUACCUCUGGGGAGUGGGGAUGGGGGAGUGCACUCUUCUAUACUGUUAUAUUUUCUUUUCAUGCUCCUAAGGUACUUUUAUUGGAAGAUGUAAAGCGGUUCAAUGUAAUAGGCUUAACUUCUGUCAACUAAGUUGGCGUGGGUGCUUUAAGAGGGUGGUAGUGAUGUUGCUGGAGAAAGUAUCCCACAGUCACUGGUGGCUUCAGCCACGGGCCAUUUUGGGGCCUAAUAAUCACAUAUCAUCAUGGUUGCUAGUGUUAAUCGAAAACCUACUAAGUGCCAGGCUUACUGUCUCUGGGUCUUGCUUACGUGGAUGUCAUUUUUCCAGUUGCACCAAAUCGAAAGAGGUUAAUUGGUUUGUUGGAGUUCCUUUGUAGGUGAAGGGCAGAGCCAGGAGCUUGGCUAGGGACAGGGGAGGUGAGUGGGGGAUGGUGGAUAGGUCUUGGCUCCCAGUUUCCUUCUGGGCAGACAUUGCCCCUCUGCCCUGAGGACCUGCUUGUUUGGGGGAAGAGGCCUUUAGAGGCACCAGGGUCAUGCCAGGUGUUGGACAUGGUGAACUGGGAAGUGCUCCCAUCUGGCCACAGCGCAGAAGUAUCACCGUGCUGGGGGAUGGGGAACAGGGCUGUGAAUGGGCCUAUUUGCAUAAGCAGCAUGUGUCUGGAGAGAAAGACAUCACAGAGCAGAAGAGUGCGGGUGCCCAGGAGUGCACUUGCCACCCCUACUUCAUCCCUGAAAGAGUAAAUGGCCUGGAAGGUGUCUCUGAGAGGUAAUGCCGCACACCACCCUCCCUGGGGGCAGGGUCAGGCUACACCUGCCUUAGGUCGGGGGCUGCAGCAGCCUGAGAGCUCUCAGUAGGGCCUCAGUAGCCUGGGAGGGAGCAGGGGCAGGGGGCAGGGAAAGAGGCGUAAUGGGGCUGUCCAGAGGGGCCUGGGAAACCUGGUCCCUGAGGCCUGGGCACAGCUACAAUCACUUCAAAUUGGCUGUGGGGCCAGUGGACUGGGAAGGAAAAAAGCAAUAAGAGUGACCAAGUGCAGAAGGCUGUCAGGUCCCAGGUCACAUGCCUUAGUGCAGUGACUCCUCAUCAUUUUAUGGGGUGUGGGUGUCGUUGGUACACCCAUUUUACAGAUGAGGACACCGAGGCCCAGAAAAGUUAAGUUACAUGUCCUAAGUCACACAGCUUGUAAGUGCCAGAACUGAGAUCAAAACCAAGUCUCUUUGACUUUAAAGUCUGUACUCUGACCCCAAAGAGAUCCUGUUUGGCCACUUAUAGGAGGUCCCUAAAGCUGCAGACUCCCCUUGCCGGCACCCACAUAUAGAGACAUUAACCCUUCCCCUGCAGGGUCACCUCAAAUAGUCUUUUAGCUGGGCUUCUCCUGCAAUUCCACCUAAUGCCAUCCCCUGGGUUUUGCCCAAACCUGAACUGGGCAGUGGGGUGAGAGGAGGGGUUUACAGGGUUACAGAGCCUCAUACAGAUAGGAGCCCAUGGCUGCUGGUCAUCUGCAUUCCUGCAGGAUUGGCUGUUCCUUGGGGUCCUUGGCAGGAAAAUGAGGAUUGCUCCGAGGCCUGCUCCAGUACUUCCCAGAGGCUGGCCUGGUGUGGGGCUCUGGGAAGGCUGAGGCUGGAGAAGCGUAAGUAGGAGGGCAGAGAUGGCACUCAGGUAGCUUGAAUCACCAGGACCCUUCCAAGCCCCACAGGUUCUGAGGGAGUACUAGGGCCAGCUCUGGGAGAGGUCUCUUCCUAUGCUGUGAACCCCCUGCCUUUCUUGCAGCCUA